UACGGAGGGGCUAGCGUUGUUCGGAAUUACUGGGCGUAAAGCGCGCGUAGGCGGAUCUGCAAGUCGGGGGUGAAAUCCCGAGGCUCAACCUCGGAACUGCCUUCGAUACUGCGGGUCUCGAGUCCGGGAGAGGUGAGUGGAAUUCCGUAGUGUAGAGGUGAAAUUCGUAGAUAUUAGGAAGAACACCAGUGGCGAAGGGCGGCUCACUGGCCCGGUACUGACGCUGACGGCGCGAAAGCGUGGGGAGCAAAGCAGG
rnacentral:rRNA from 1 species